AGAGAUGUGUGAUGACGCAUAUCAAUAAGCGGAGGAAAAGAAACUAGCAAGGAUUCCCUUAGUAACGGCGAGUGAAGCGGGAAGAGCUCAAAUUUGAAAUCUUCAAGGUUCUACCUUGACGAAUUGUAGUUUAUAGAAGUGUUUUCUGUUAGUGGAGUGGCAAAAGUUCUUUGGAAUAGGACAUCAUAGAGGGUGAGAAUCCCGUAUUUGGUCAUUCCUCCUAGCGUUGUGAUACACUUUCAACGAGUCGGAUUGUUUGGGAAUGCAGUCCAAAAUGGGUAGUAAAUUUCAUCUAAAGCUAAAUAUUGGCGAGAGACCGAUAGCGAACAAGUACCGUGAGGGAAAGAUGAAAAGAACUUUGAAAAGAGAGUUAAACAGUACGUGAAAUUGUCAAAAGGGAAGCGUUUGACACCAGUGUUGUUUUUCCGAAAAUCAAUUACGAAUGUUUUGUUUUUAAGAAGUUAUGACUUCAUCGGCUUGCUUCUUUCUUUAUGAAACUUUCUUAAUGCACUUUUCGGUUAACAAGUCAACAUCAAUUUCUUUUGUUGUAAAAGAGUAUUGGGAAGGUGGCUUUCUUUUCGGAGAAAGUGUUUAUAGCCUUGUGCCUCUGCAAUCGGAAGAGAUUGAGGUCUGCAGCGUAGAUCCUUCGGGGUUAGAUACAUUUGUGCUAAGUUAUAGUCUUUUAUAGACAACUUGUUGACUAUGUUAAGUCUUGUAGCUUACUCGCUUAUGCUAUUUUACCUACGCUUAGGAUGUUGAAGAUGUAGCACAUCAU
rnacentral:rRNA from 1 species